GCCUCUCGUAGGCGUUUCGAAAAUGAAUCAAAACUUUCAACAACGGAUCUCUUGGUUCUGGCAUCGAUGAAGAACGCAGCGAAAUGCGAUAAGUAAUGUGAAUUGCAGAAUUCAGUGAAUCAUCGAAUCUUUGAACGCACAUUGCGCCCGCCAGUAUUCU
rnacentral:rRNA from 2 species